GAUGAACGCUAGCGACAGGCUUAACACAUGCAAGUCGAGGGGCAGCACGAUGUAGCAAUACAUUGGUGGCGACCGGCGCACGGGUGAGUAACGCGUAUGCAACCUACCUAUCAGAGGGGAAUAACCCGGCGAAAGUCGGACUAAUACCGCAUAAAACAGGGGUUCCACAUGGAAAUAUUUGUUAAAGAAUUAUCGCUGAUAGAUGGGCAUGCGUUCCAUUAGAUAGUUGGUGAGGUAACGGCUCACCAAGUCCACGAUGGAUAGGGGUUCUGAGAGGAAGGUCCCCCACACUGGUACUGAGACACGGACCAGACUCCUACGGGAGGCAGCAGUGAGGAAUAUUGGUCAAUGGGCGAGAGCCUGAACCAGCCAAGUCGCGUGAAGGAUGAAGGAUCUAUGGUUUGUAAACUUCUUUUAUAUGGGAAUAAAGUGAGGAACGUGUUCCUUUUUGUAUGUACCAUAUGAAUAAGCAUCGGCUAACUCCGUGCCAGCAGCCGCGGUAAUACGGAGGAUGCGAGCGUUAUCCGGAUUUAUUGGGUUUAAAGGGUGCGUAGGUGGCUAAUUAAGUCAGCGGUGAAAGUUUGUGGCUCAACCAUAAAAUUGCCGUUGAAACUGGUUAGCUUGAGUAUAUUUGAGGUAGGCGGAAUGCGUGGUGUAGCGGUGAAAUGCAUAGAUAUCACGCAGAACUCCGAUUGCGAAGGCAGCUUACUAAACUAUAACUGACACUGAAGCACGAAAGCGUGGGGAUCAAACAGGAUUAGAUACCCUGGUAGUCCACGCAGUAAACGAUGAUUACUAGCUGUUUGCGAUACACAGUAAGCGGCUCAGCGAAAGCGUUAAGUAAUCCACCUGGGGAGUACGCCGGCAACGGUGAAACUCAAAGGAAAAGACGGGGGCCCGCACAAGCGGAGGAACAUGUGGUUUAAUUCGAUGAUACGCGAGGAACCUUACCCGGGUUUGAACGCAUUCGGACCGGAGUGGAAACACUUCUUCUAGUAAUAGCCGUUUGCGAGGUGCUGCAUGGUUGUCGUCAGCUCGUGCCGUGAGGUGUCGGCUUAAGUGCCAUAACGAGCGCAACCCUUAUCACUAGUUACUAACAGGUCAUGCUGAGGACUCUAGUGAGACUGCCAGCGUAAGCUGUGAGGAAGGUGGGGAGGACGUCAAAUCAGCACGGCCCUUACAUCCGGGGCGACACACGUGUUACAAUGGUGGGGACAAAGGGCAGCUACCGUGUGAGCGGAUGCAAAUCUCCAAACCCCAUCUCAGUUCGGAUCGAAGUCUGCAACCCGACUUCGUGAAGCUGGAUUCGCUAGUAAUCGCGCAUCAGCCAUGGCGCGGUGAAUAAGAUCCCGGGCCUUGCAC
rnacentral:rRNA from 1 species